UUUUUCAUUUCCAGACUGCUCCAAGGAGCAUCCUACAUCAAUUCUGAAUAUUAAAGAUGAAGUAUCCAUUUAGGACAGGGCCUGAACUCAUGUCCACAAAGAAAGGAAAGUUUGUUUGAUUUGAAGUUAUUGAAUCUGGUGAGAAAUCCAUCAAGCUAAUUUGUCUGUCUCUAAUGCAAUCCCCGUAAUCAUCUUAACUCAAAUCAUACUAACUUUUUGACACUACCAUCACAUCACCAUCAUGUCUGGUUUCCUAACUUCUCUGAUACUUCAAAUCACAAACAAAUCCUCUGCAUUCCAAGGCCCACAUCACUCAUCCUCGCAGAAAACAGAAGAAGAAAGAAAAAAAGAAGAAGAGGGGAACAUGAACCUCUCAACGAAAUCAUCAACCUCAGCAGUCCAAUACUAAGGUAAACUAAUUCAAUUUCUUGGUGAUUGAAUCUUGAAUUUAUUUUCAUGAUUGAUCAAGUAGUUUGAUUGAUGUGAUUCUUUGAAUUUUGCAUUUUAUAGUUGUUCCUAGCUGUCCAACAAGUAUGGAGUCUUAUGGAGUUCUUUAUGACUCUAUACUUGAGGAUUAAGCCAAUUUAUACCCUUCUGUUAAACAUGAUGUAUCCAUUACUGUAAUCGAAACAAGCUCUCAUAUUUUACAAGAAGGAAAUCUCAAAGCGGUUUAU